rnacentral:tRNA from 1 species
CCUUAGUAGAAAAACUUACUAAAUGCCCUCUACCCCCAAAACUAGAAUUUUUUUCUAUUGACACAAGCUUCGAGUU